rnacentral:rRNA from 1 species
UACAGAGGUCUCAAGCGUUGUUCGGAUUCAUUGGGCGUAAAGGGUGCGUAGGCGGCGCGGUAAGUCGGGUGUGAAAUCUCGGGGCUUAACUCCGAAACUGCAUUCGAUACUGCCGUGCUUGAGGACUGGAGAGGAGACUGGAAUUUACGGUGUAGCGGUGAAAUGCGUAGAUAUCGUAAGGAAGACCAGUGGCGAAGGCGAGUCUCUGGACAGUUACCGACGCUGAGGCACGAAGGUCAGGGGAGCAAACGGG